GACGAACGCUGGCGGCGUGCCUAAUACAUGCAAGUAGAACGCUGAAGGAGGAGCUUUCUUCUCUGGAUGAUUUGCGAACGGGUGAGUAACGCGUAGGUAACCUGCCUGUUAGCGGGUGAUAACUAUUAGAAACGAUAGCUAAUACCGCAUAAGAGUAUAUGUUGCAUGACAUUUGCUUAAAAGGUGCAAUUUCAUCACUACCAGAUGGACCUGCGUUGUAUUAUCUAGUUGGUGGGGUAACGGCUCACUAAGGCGACGAUACAUAACCGAACUGAGAGGGUGGUCGGCCACACUGGGAAUGAGACACGGCCCAGAAUCCUACGGGAGGCAGCCGUAGGGAAUCGUCGGGCAUGGACGGAAGGCUGACCGAGCAACGCCGCGUGAGUGAAGAAGGUUUUCGGAUCGUAAAGAUCUGUUGUAAGAGAAGAAAGAGUGUGAGAGUGGAAAGUUCACACUGUGACGGUAUCUUACCAGAAAGGGACGGCUAACUACGUG
rnacentral:rRNA from 1 species